GUUCACAUUGUACUGUUUUCUGUUUGAGCCAAUCCUAGUCACGCCCCUCAUUUCCAUUAUUCCUCGCACCUGUGUUGCUUCCUGAUAGUCUCCCUUCUUAAACCUCUCUCAGUCGCAACCACGCUGCCAGAUUAUCGAACGCUUUCAGCAAGUAGUUUUCCAGCACUUUUACCUCGCCCUCAUAGCCACGGCCACGCUUUGUUCCUCGGACCUGCCCCUUUUGCCUUGCCCUUGUCGGACUGUUACUAUCGCCCUUCUGGAUCUCGACCCACGCCUGUUUUAGUUACACCGCUCUCGCCCACUCCCACGGAUUCUGCCCUUAGCCCCGAUCGUGCAUGACCUCGGCCCGUCUGACUAAGGAUUCAGAUCUGGAUUUGGUUCUUCUGCUGCCUAACUAGUUUGUACGCUGCCCUGCAUCAGCGCUUCUCUCCCCAGGCACUUCCUGCCGAGCUCUGCGUCAGUGCAGCAUCUGCGCUCCUCCUGGUUCCUCAGCCGAUCACUUCAGUUACUGAUCGCCAAGCCAGUGCUGCAGCGGACGAUCCUGCGUGCCCGGUUUAAGCUGCCUUUUAAUAAAUAUCAGAGUUUUCUGCUCA